rnacentral:rRNA from 1 species
GAUUCUGGCUCAGGAUGAACGCUAGCGGCAGGCUUAACACAUGCAAGUCGAGGGGCAUCGGGAGUAGCAAUACUUGCCGGCGACCGGCGCAAGGGUGCGUAACGCGUGAGCAACAUGCCCGUAUCAGGGGGAUAAUCCAUGGAAACGUGGUCUAAUACCCCAUAGUAAUUAUGUAAGGCAUCUUAUAUAAUUUAAAGCUUUGGUGGAUACGGAUUGGCUCGCGUGACAUUAGCUGGAUGGUAAGGUAACGGCUUACCAUGGCUACGAUGUCUAGGGGUUCUGAGAGGAAGGUCCCCCACACUGGAACUGAGACACGGUCCAGACUCCUACGGGAGGCAGCAGUGAGGAAUAUUGGACAAUGGAUGGAAAUCUGAUCCAGCCAUGCCGCGUGCCAGGAAGACGGCCCUAUGGGUUGUAAACUGCUUUUGUAUGGGAGCAAUAAGGGCUACGUGUAGUCCGAUGAGAGUACCAUACGAAUAAGCACCGGCUAACUCCGUGCCAGCCGCAGC